UGGGGAAUAUUGCACAAUGGGCGGAAGCCUGAUGCAGCGACGCCGCGUGGGGGAUGAAGGCCUUCGGGUUGUAAACUCCUUUCGACAGGGACGAAGCUUUUGUGACGGUACCUGUAUAAGAAGCACCGGCUAACUACGUGCCAGCAGCCGCGGUAAUACGUAGGGUGCGAGCGUUGUCCGGAAUUACUGGGCGUAAAGAGCUCGUAGGUGGUUUGUCGCGUCGUCUGUGAAAUUCCGGGGCUUAACUCCGGGCGUGCAGGCGAUACGGGCUGACUUGAGUGCUGUAGGGGAGACUGGAAUUCCUGGUGUAGCGGUGAAAUGCGCAGAUAUCAGGAGGAACACCGAUGGCGAAGGCAGGUCUCUGGGCAGUAACUGACGCUGAGGAGCGAAAGCAUGGGUAGCGAACAGGAUUAGAUACCCUGGUAGUCCAUGCCGUAAACGGUGGGCGCCAGGUGUAGGGGGCUUCCACGUCUUCUGUGCCGUAGCUAACGCAUUAAGCGCCCCGCCUGGGGAGUACGGCCGCAAGGCUA
rnacentral:rRNA from 1 species